UCCCUCCUGUCCACAAUCCACGCCCACUGACUCCUCUUCCCCUUCACGCUGCUCCAAUCCCAUCAUGCAGGAAGCGGGGCGUUUGCCCUUUGACCUGUCAGGAAUGUUUUCCUCCUCUGUCCCAGCCGCAGCAGCAGUCACAGCAGGGCUCUCUGACGGUCACAGGCUGAUGGAGUGGAGCCUGUGAAACAACACUGUGACCUACUGCACUGCCCAUCCAUCCACAUACACACCCAUAUAUGUGGAUGGAUGUGCAGCAGAAGGGGAACCAAAUUGUUUUGCGAGUCACAAACCACAGAGACAAUCCCAUGGUGGCCUCCAUCCCAACCACCGCCAUUCUACAUUCCAAAGCAGAGCAUGAUGGGGAACGAACCUGCAUCAAGGAGUCACAAUCACAGAACAACUACGCUACAGUCCCUUCCCACCACCCCCUGUGAGAACGAGUGUCCUGGUUGCCCGUUGUACCACCGCCGCCGAACUAGAUCCACAUGUGAAGCCUGGUGUGAUCACAAUGCUCAGAUGGUUUCAAUGAUUUAUGGUCACACAGUAGACACGAUGGCUGUGUGAUUACAUCUGGCUCCAACAACUCUCUCAGCUAUCGCCACAUCUCACAGGGAAGACUUCCCACAGAACAGCCCUGUUAGCAGCCACACACCACAGGAGGUGAAAGGUGCUUCCCUUCACAGCUGACUGACAUCUGAGAGCUGACACACUAAAAGAAGUACUGUCAUCUUCCAUGGUGCACGACUGAAUGGACCACAUCAUACUGUAUUGCCUAUGUGUGUAAAUAGAAUUUUCCAUUUGUAGUAGUUCCACAUAGCGCAGUUAUAUACCGUUACGAUGUCUGUCUCUUUCCUGUAACAUUUAGCAUCUGUGAUGACCCAUUGUUGUGGUAGAUUUGUAUGAAACUUAACUUAAAAAGUGGAAGCUUGCUAACAAGGCUAACUAGCUUCCACUGAGGAGGUGGAAGUGCAAGCCUAGCUUGCUAACCUUUGUCAGUUUCCUAAGUUGGAAAAGUGUGGGCGAGUGGGUUUACUUCACUCGCAAAAUGAACGUACAUCAUUAACUUACUUACCGUAUGUUACCUUGAAUUUAUGAAGCAAACUUUGUUUUUCUCGCAUGCCUCCACGUGAAUGGAGGAUCCAAAAGAGGCCAACAUCAUUCAUGAACUGAAGAGGGCUAAUCAGGGUCUUCAUUAAAUAACAGCAAAGCUCCAAACGGAAUUCCAAAAAGUUAGGACAUUGUGUAAAACC